rnacentral:lncRNA from 10 species
UGAGGAUGAGGAACAUGGUGUUGCAGUUCAAACCAGUUCCAGCCAAAAUGGACUCUAGUCACAAACAAAUAGUAAUAACAAUCCAAACUUGUGGCUGAAUAGAGUUCUGAAGUUUUGAGAAAGAGGUAAAGAUAUGAAAUAGUUGUCUAGGAGCAGGCAAAAAAAUGGCUUAGAGAAAUUACAAUUGCUACUUAGCACUAAGGGGCCACUUGAGAUUAGAGGUGAUACAUGAAGAGUGAGAUUUGAACUGAGUUUUAAAGAAUGUUAAGAACUUGGAUGGAGCAACAAGGGAGAGAACUUUAGACAAAGAUGAUCUGUAGACCCAAGGCCUGACAUUCUCAUCAUUAUUGUUUGCCUUAGUCUGUGUAUCCUCUAAAAGCCCAAGGCGAGCAUUUAUUUGGAAGGGGAUUUCAGGGAACACAAGUGAGGAAGUGAUUCAGCUCAAAAGUUUUGUUUAGAAUCUACUUCCUAGUACCCACCAGCUUAGGCUGAGUUUCCCAGAAUCAGAUCUGUGUUGGAGAUUUGUGUGUAUGAUGUUUAUUGGGGAGCUUCCCCAGAAACAACACCUUUAAGUACAGGAAACAAUUGAACAGGGACAAAAAUCCUACAGUGAUAAAAUUAUAACAGAAGUCGUAGGUAAUCCUUUGGGGCUCUCUGGAGCUAAAACAGCUUUUCCAAAUUGUCUAUAAAUUGAUGCAAGAGGAACACAUCUUCAUACUUCACGUUAAACAGUCACUGGGCACAGGCUACCCUAGGAGAAAGCUUGUAAACUU